CGGGGCGUGGCGCAGUUUGGUUAGCGCACUUGCUUGGGGUGCAAGAGGUCGCCCGUUCGAAUCGGGUCGCCCCGA
rnacentral:tRNA from 1 species